rnacentral:rRNA from 1 species
UGAAUACGAGACGCUAAGGCGUCGAAGUAGUGUAUGUCAUACUUCCAAGAAAAGCUUGCACUGUCAUAGAUAAAAAACGCCUGUACCAUAACCGACACAGGUGGGUAGGUAGAGUAUACUAAGGGGCGCGAGAUAACUCUCUCUAAGGAACUCGGCAAAAUAACUCCGUAACUUCGGGAGAAGGAGUGCCUUAUUAUUAAGGCUGCAAUAACAAGAUCCAAGCAACUGUUUAUCAAAAACACAGGUCUCCGCUAAGUCGUAAGACGAUGUAUGGGGGCUGACGCCUGCCCAGUGCCAGAAGGUUAAAGAAGUUGGUUAGCAUUUGCGAAGCUGAUAACUGAAGCCCUGGUGAACGGCGGCCGUAACGAUAACGGUCCUAAGGUAGCGAAAUUCCUUGUCGGGUAAGUUCCGACCCGCACGAAAGGCGUAAUGAUUUGGAUACUGUCUCGGAGAGGGGCUCGGUGAAAUAGACUUGUCUGUGAAGAUGCGGACUACCUGCACCAGGACAGAAAGACCCUAUGAAGCUUUACUGUAACUUGAAAUUGAAAUUGGACUUUAUUCGCGCAGCAUAGGUGGGAGGCGUUGAUUAUAAUCUUGUGGGAUUAUUGGAGCCAUCAGUGAGAUACCACUCUUGUAAUGUUAGAUUUCUAACUUUGAAUCAUUAUCUGGUCAAAGAACAGUUUCAGGCGGGCAGUUUGACUGGGGCGGUCGCCUCCUAAACGGUAACGGAGGCGUACAAAGGUUUCCUCUGAACGGUUAGAAAUCGUAUCUAGAGUGUAAAGGCAUAAGGAAGCUUGACUGUGAGACCUACAAGUCGAGCAGGGACGAAAGUCGGUCUUAGUGAUCUGACGGUACUGAGUGGAAAGGCCGUCACUCAACGGAUAAAAGUUACUCUAGGAUAACAGGCUGAUCUCCCCCAAGAGUUCACAUCGACGGGGAGGUUUGGCACCUCGAUGUCGGCUCAUCGCAUCCUGGGGCGGUAGUACGUCCCAAGGGUUGGGCUGUUCGCCCAUGAAAGCGGUACGCGAGCUGGGUUCAGAACGUCGUGAGACAGUUCGGUCCAUAUCCGGUGUAGGCGUUAGAAUAUUGAGAGGAGCCUUCUUUAGUACGAGAGGACCGAGAAGGACAUACCUCUGGUGUACCAGUUAUCGUGCCAACGGUAAACGCUGGGUAGCUAUGUAUGGAGUGGAUAACCGCUGAAAGCAUCUAAGUGGGAAGCCCACCUCAAGAUAAGUAUUCUCAUC